UCUAAGCAAGACACAAGCCUCCCCAAAUUCUGGUGUGAAUUCAGCAGAACUGUGUUCAGGCUUCAAGCUCCAGGAGAUUUCCGUGCUUGAAAGAAAUUAAAUGGAGACAACACAUGUGAAGGAGAGCCCAAAGAGGAAACCUCAAAAGCUGCUACAGGCAGAGGCAGAAAAUCCUCUCAUUGUCCAGCUCGAUAUUUCCUUCUCUUGCAGACUAUGUGUCUCUCUGGAAGAUUUCUCAUUUGAAAAGCAUAUUUUCUCUUCUGUUAGGAAUGGGUAGUGGUCUGGCAAGCUUGG
rnacentral:lncRNA from 1 species